UACGUAGGGUGCAAGCGUUAUCCGGAAUUAUUGGGCGUAAAGAGCUCGUAGGCGGUUUGUCGCGUCUGCUGUGAAAACUGGGGGCUCAACCCCCAGCCUGCAGUGGGUACGGGCAGACUAGAGUGCGGUAGGGGAGAUUGGAAUUCCUGGUGUAGCGGUGGAAUGCGCAGAUAUCAGGAGGAACACCGAUGGCGAAGGCAGAUCUCUGGGCCGUAACUGACGCUGAGGAGCAAAAGCAUGGGGAGCGAACAGG
rnacentral:rRNA from 1 species